rnacentral:rRNA from 1 species
CCUACGGGUGGCAGCAGUGGGGAAUUUUGGACAAUGGGCGCAAGCCUGAUCCAGCAAUGCCGCGUGAGUGAAGAAGGCCUUCGGGUUGUAAAGCUCUUUUGUCAGGGAAGAAACGGCUCCGGCUAAUAUCUGGGGCUAAUGACGGUACCUGAAGAAUAAGCACCGGCUAACUACGUGCCAGCAGCCGCGGUAAUACGUAGGGUGCAAGCGUUAAUCGGAAUUACUGGGCGUAAAGCGUGCGCAGGCGGUUUUGUAAGUCUGACGUGAAAUCCCCGGGCUCAACCUGGGAAUUGCGUUGGAGACUGCAAGGCUGGAGUCUGGCAGAGGGGGGUAGAAUUCCACGUGUAGCAGUGAAAUGCGUAGAGAUGUGGAGGAACACCGAUGGCGAAGGCAGCCCCCUGGGUCAAGACUGACGCUCAUGCACGAAAGCGUGGGGAGCGAACAGGAUUAGAUACCCUCGUAGUC